GAUGAACGCUGGCGGCGUGCCUAAUACAUGCAAGUCGAGCGAACAGAUAAGGAGCUUGCUCCUUUGACGUUAGCGGCGGACGGGUGAGUAACACGUGGGUAACCUACCUAUAAGACUGGGAUAACUUCGGGAAACCGGAGCUAAUACCGGAUAACAUUUAGAACCGCAUGGUUCUAAAGUGAAAGAUGGUUUUGCUAUCACUUAUAGAUGGACCCGCGCCGUAUUAGCUAGUUGGUAAGGUAACGGCUUACCAAGGCGACGAUACGUAGCCGACCUGAGAGGGUGAUCGGCCACACUGGAACUGAGACACGGUCCAGACUCCUACGGGAGGCAGCAGUAGGGAAUCUUCCGCAAUGGGCGAAAGCCUGACGGAGCAACGCCGCGUGAGUGAUGAAGGGUUUCGGCUCGUAAAACUCUGUUAUUAGGGAAGAACAAAUGUGUAAGUAACUGUGCACAUCUUGACGGUACCUAAUCAGAAAGCCACGGCUAACUACGUG
rnacentral:rRNA from 1 species